rnacentral:rRNA from 1 species
AGUGACGGUACCUGCAGAAGAAGCGCCGGCUAACUACGUGCCAGCAGCCGCGGUAAUACGUAGGGCGCAAGCGUUAUCCGGAAUUAUUGGGCGUAAAGCGCGCGUAGGCGGUUUUUUAAGUCUGAUGUGAAAGCCCACGGCUCAACCGUGGAGGGUCAUUGGAAACUGGAAAACUUGAGUGCAGAAGAGGAAAGUGGAAUUCCAUGUGUAGCGGUGAAAUGCGCAGAGAUAUGGAGGAACACCAGUGGCGAAGGCG